rnacentral:rRNA from 1 species
UGUGCACUAUUCUCUUCAGUACGAAAGGACCAAGAAAAUGGGACCCAUAUUUCCAACAAGCCCCCAACCCAACCUGAAACAAUAUCAAAUUCACCAGUACCCUAUCCCCCAAAACCAGGGC